rnacentral:misc_RNA from 1 species
CAAACUUCAAGCCCCCCUCAUGGCUUGGUGUUGGGCGUCUGUCCUCCCGGGACUCGCCUCAAAUGCAUUGGCAGCCGGUACGUUGGCUUCGAGCGCAGCAGAAACGCGCGCGGCGUCCGACGGUGCCUGGCUCUCCAGGAAGCCUCCACCCCAA